GACGAACGCUGGCGGCGUGCCUAACACAUGCAAGUCGAGCGAUGAAGUUCCUUCGGGAACGGAUUAGCGGCGGACGGGUGAGUAACACGUGGGCAACCUGCCUUAUAGAGGGGAAUAGCCUUCCGAAAGGAAGAUUAAUACCGCAUAAGAUUGUAGCUUCGCAUGAAGUAGCAAAUAAAGGAGCAAUCCGCUAUAAGGAUGGGCCCGCGGCGCAUUAGCUAGUUGGUGAGGUAACGGCUCACCAAGGCGACGAUGCGUAGCCGACCUGAGAGGGUGAUCGGCCACAUUGGGACUGAGACACGGCCCAG
rnacentral:rRNA from 1 species